GGUGGUUAGACACGCCGCACAACGAGAACGAAGCGAGAACGGCUCUCCGCACCGUGUUACUACGAGCAGCAAGCAUUUAUGCGUACUAGCGAGUAGGCGCGGGGUAGAGGUAAACCGAACGCAACGAGAACGAAAAGGAACGGCUCCCCUCGUACCAUUGCAACGAAGCAAAGAGUCGUUUUGCGUGUAAGCGAGUAGGCGGGGAGUGGGUACGAGCCGAAUACAACGAGCCGGUUGCAUUGUAACAGGCAACCAACUGAUAAGAAAAAUAUUUCGAUCGAAUGAAAAGGCAGAUGGUUUGGCCAUUGUGUUUUGCGUUGAGUUGUGAAAUAUGUUGGAAUGUGCUGGUUUGUUGAAAUGUGAAUUUUUUUCGUGAUGUUUUGGCAAGUAUUACGGUAAAUUGCGAUCGGUAGUGUAUAAAAAGUAAUUUUUCGUGUUCGUGAUCGUAUUUGCGGUUCGAUUAAGGUAAGAAAUUUUGAAUUACGGUGAUUUUUCGCGAAAUGAGCAGCUUCGUGCAGGUUUGGUGUUGGAAAAUGUUGUAGCAGAAAUGUGCCUGACGGAAUUUGAGUAAGUCCAAUUUAGAAUAAUAUUAAUACGCGGUUUUCUAUGUUCAUAGCCGAGAAGUAUUGUGUUUCGUACAUCUGGAGUGCGUAGUUAGCCAAAAAUCGUGGAAAUUUCAAAAAUCGAGAAGCUCUCGUCGCGUGUGCUUGCUAAAAGAACAAAACGAGCAGCAACGUGGUUGGAAGUUCCUUUGAGUUGCCAGAAAGUUUUUCUCGAUUAGUAAUUGCGACUUUGGUUGGACGAAGCUUUAAUCGGAAAGCUGAUUAUUGGACGGAGUGUUAUUUUUUGAUCGUUUGAUGAGAAUUAUUGACGCUGGAAAAAGGUGA